CCCAGACUCCUACGGGAGGCAGCAGUGGGGGAUAUUGCACAAUGGGGGGAACCCUGAUGCAGCGACGCCGCGUGGGUGAAGGAGUAUUUCGGUAUGUAAAGCCCUAUCGGCAGGGAAGAAGCAAGACGGUACCUGACUAAGAAGCCCCGGCUAACUACGUGCCAGCAGCCGCGGUAAUACGUAGGGGGCAAGCGUUAUCCGGAUUUACUGGGUGUAAAGGGAGCGUAGACGGUGAAGCAAGUCUGAAGUGAAAGGCGGGGGCUCAACCCCCGGACUGCUUUGGAAACUGUUUGACUGGAGUGCAGGAGAGGUAAGUGGAAUUCCUAGUGUAGCGGUGAAAUGCGUAGAUAUUAGGAGGAACACCAGUGGCGAAGGCGGCUUACUGGACUGUAACUGACGUUGAGGCGCGAAAGCGUGGGGAGCAAACAGGAUUAGAUACCCCAGUACA
rnacentral:rRNA from 1 species